GCUAGCGUUGUUCGGAAUUACUGGGCGUAAAGCGCACGUCGGCGGCUAACUAAGUCAGACGUGAAAUCCCUCGGCUUAACCGGGGAACUGCGUCUGAUACUGGAUGGCUAGAGGUUGGGAGAGGGAUGCGGAAUUCCAGGUGUAGCGGUGAAAUGCGUAGAUAUCAAGAGGAACACCUGAGGUGAAGACGGGUUGCUGGGCUGACACUGACGCUGAGGCGCGAAAGCCAGGGGAGCAAACGGG
rnacentral:rRNA from 1 species